GUCGGGAUGAUGGAAUGGUAGACAUAUGACACUUAAAAUGUCAGGGGCAAUUACGUCCGUGCGGGUUCGAGUCCCGCUCCCGGCA
rnacentral:tRNA from 1 species